rnacentral:tRNA from 1 species
UCCGAUAUGGUGUAGUGGCCAACAUGAUGCCCUCUCAAGAACAACGAGAGGUUAGGCAUAGCCCCGAGUUCGAUUCUCGGUUUCGGAA